AGACAGUUCGGUCCAUAUCCGGUGCAGGCGUAAGAGCAUUGAGAGGAUCCCUCCUUAGUACGAGAGGACCGGGAGGGACGCACCGCUGGUGUGCCAGUUAUCGUGCCAACGGUAAACGCUGGGUAGCCAAGUGCGGCGCGGAUAACCGCUGAAAGCAUCUAAGUGGGAAGCCCACCUCAAGAUGAGUGCUCUCACUACAUAAGUAGGUAAGGUCACAGGAAGAUUACCUGUUGAUAGGCGCCAGGUGGAAGUGCAGUAAUGCAUGCAGCCGAAGCGUACUAAUAGACCGAG
rnacentral:rRNA from 1 species